rnacentral:rRNA from 1 species
GACGAACGCUGGCGGCGUGCUUAACACAUGCAAGUCGAACGGAAAGGCCCUGCUUUUGUGGGGUGCUCGAGUGGCGAACGGGUGAGUAACACGUGAGUAACCUGCCCUUGACUUUGGGAUAACUUCAGGAAACUGGGGCUAAUACCGGAAAGGAGCCCCUGCUGCAUGGUGGGGGUUGGAAAGUUUCGGCGGUUGGGGAUGGACUCGCGGCUUAUCAGCUUGUUGGUGGGGUAGUGGCUUACCAAGGCUUUGACGGGUAGCCGGCCUGAGAGGGUGACCGGCCACAUUGGGACUGAGAUACGGCCCAGACUCCUACGGGAGGCAGCAGUGGGGAAUAUUGCACAAUGGGCGGAAGCCUGAUGCAGCAACGCCGCGUGCGGGAUGACGGCCUUCGGGUUGUAAACCGCUUUCGCCUGUGACGAAGCGUGAGUGACGGUAAUGGGUAAAGAAGCACCGGCUAACUACGUG